AGAGCCCAUGAAGGGUGCAGAACCUGGGUUGGAGUUACAGGCUAAGGACCUAGCCCGUUCCUGGGUGAAUUCAGCCCGAAGGAGGGUGUGGAGGGCGUGCUUUGAUGUGAGGGGCUGACUGAAGUCUCUGGCACUCAGAAUCUAGCUCUAACUUGGCUGCUCUGCACCAGGAGGACUUCAAGCCUGAGUGUUGCUGGAGUAGUGUCCUCAGCUUUGGUCAAUGGUCACAUGAAAUAUGCUUUCCUUUCACUGCAAAAAUAUUUUUCUAGGACCUAGCCAAUUGAUCACAUCACGCCCCAUUCUUCAUAUCAGGGCCAUGUAAGCAAUUUUUAUUAGCGUGUAUUGUAAAGGCAAAACUUUGUCCUGUUAGAGCAAACAGACUGCUUCCUGCAGAUAGUAAGGGCUCGGAUUUCUUCUUCCGCCCUGGCGGCCCGGAGACUUCCUCAGAGCCUGUGUUGCCAGGCAGGCCAGCCCUCAUUACUCCGUUUCCCAGGGCCCCGCAUUUUAGUUCUACGACUUUGAAACGUGUUGCCUUCCACGUUCUCCCUGGAAAGAAGCAGGCUAUCAUUAAUGACAGAAUAGAAAACAAAAGACCCUUAAUUUGGCCAUGUAUGAAGCUAUUUCAGAAAUGGGUCCUGCUCUGUUAAGCCUCCGGACAACAGCCACCCCUGCCAACCUCCUGACUGCAAACUCAGGGCGCUGGUGCCACCAGCAGUGAAUAACAGAAUGAGACAGGAGAAAAGGGCUCAAGGCUCCUCAACAGGUCCUUCUUAUUUUUAUUUUGUAGCUGCCCCAAAGCCUUGCAGCCAGCCCAGCUGCACCAGGCACCUCACAGCCUCUUCAGAAGAUGUUUGCUUUGGCUGCAGCAGGCUUUGGCUGCAGCAGGCUUUGGCUGCGGACAUAUCCAGGAUGACUGCCCUGUGGCCCUUCUGGGUGACCCUGCCCCUCUGGAGCCCUUCUCAGUCAGGUGCACAAAGGGCCCUUUCUCUACCUGUGGCCACCUAUAUAAACUACCUCCCCAUACCCUUAGCAGGUUCAGUCUUCUGCUGUUCCCCCUUGCACUGCAGUAUAAGUCCUAAUAGAGCCUCUUCUGCAUGGCAUAUUUUUGCAUACUUGUGAUUUCUAUUUUGAGCAGUGCUUGGUGAGCUGGUAACACUAAGAGCUGGUAACACCAAAUGCCUCUGAUACUGCAAGUGGCCAGAGCCCAGAACGGGUAAGUCUAAAGGCUGCUGGUGCUGAAAGUGGCCAGCAGCUGAGGCUCUUAGUACUAAAGGCAGCUCACAGCCAGAGCAUUGGAGAGCGGCAGAGUAUUGCAGCACCAGCCAUCUCUGGUCUCUGGAAGAAUUCCCAAGACCUGCUGGUAGUUGUAGCCACUAGCAUUCAUAGCUCAGGGCAGUGAACACUAAAAGAGCUACACUGUGCCAAUUAGUGACUUCUGUAUGAAUUGAUCAAGAACCCACAGCCAUUUGUAACAUCUCAGAAGCCUGUACAGGGUCCCUGCCCUUUAGAGGGCCCUGAAGAAGAAGGCAGCCAAUGGUGAUGGUUCUAGUGGUUCAAGAAUUGGCCCAGGCCUGAUUUCUAUCUUAAGAAUCCACAAUAGUCAGUGACAGUAUGAGGAUGAAUGGGGAACAGGUAGGCAGGUGUCCUAGGCAAGGUCUGGAUUAAAGUGGCUUAUAAUUUAUAUCAUAUACCUGGUGGUCAUUUCCUUGAUUCCUGAAUGUAUAAUUGGGGUUGAUGCACUUAGAACAAGUGUAAUACCCACAUGAAGUCCUUGGUUUGUGGGAUAGGGCUGUCAGAGGGGGCAAAGCCAAGUUGAGAGCUCACCACCCCCAGUCAAGGGUGUAGACUAAAAACAACAUUCAUCCUGCAGGCAUGGCCAUUAAUGCAAUGCUGUCCUUCAGCAUCCAAAGGACUCAGGUAGUGGUUCCCGUCACAUCUCCAUUGAGCUCACCUGCUUGGUCUCAGCAGAAACAGGCACAACCUGGCAGUUGGAUGUGACUACCAUAUAUGUGACCAUACAGCCCCGCUGGCAACUGCCUUGCCAGAUGUGGGGUCUGCUGGAGAAGAGGGGCCCCGCUGCAGAUACUGAGCACACAAACACCCAUCAGGCAGAAGAUGCAUUCUCUUCUAAUCCAGUUCUUUUUUUUUGGUACCAGGGAUUGAACUCAGGACCUUGCGGUUGCAACACAGGCGGCAGCACCGCUGAGCUAAAUCCCCAGCCUUCUUCUAAUCCAGCUGGGAGAGGAAGACGCAACAGCUCACAUGGGGUGAACUGGGCACUAGUAUAAUUUGCAGCUUUGCCCAGGAUUAUAACGAAUUUCCUGUCCUCUUUCAUAUUAUAGUUUGAAGAGAUCCAGACUCUUAAUGUCUGCAGGACACAACAAUAUUGUGCUGUAAGGGCCAGUGCAGUGGCCUGGCUCAUCCUUGAAAGCAGGCUUGACACUCACCUCUGCAUCUCAGCUGACAGCCACGGAGCAGUGCUUGGAGAGAGGACGGUGCGCUAGCUCGCGGGGCGCGUGCUGGUCUGGCCACUACCAGCAGAGGGCAGUAGUCGCCGCGGCACAGGCGGGCUGGAGGGAGCUGACCUUUCCUUGACGGAAGGCGCCCCGGGCAGACAGCUCCGCAAGGAAGAGGAAGGCUUCACAACAGAUUGAUGAGGCUGGGACUGCCUAGCUCGGGAGAUCCGUGCCCAAGACCAGACAGCCUCAGUCCUCAUCACUGCUGCCGCCGCCCAGGGACUUCAUGGUGCUGACCGGAGGGUUAACAACAGAAGGUCCCCAGAUGCCCCAGCCUGACAGUGAUGAUUCCAAGGCGGAAGAAGGGAGGGCUGUGCGGACGGCCUGGGCCUCCCUGUAGCACCCAGCACACUGCUGUGAGGACACGGCCUUCCCCAGACCAACCCAAGCAGACAACCCUUACUGCGAGUGCCUGGGAGCCCACGUGCAGCGCAUCAGUGUACAACCCUGCCACCGCGGCGCCCUUCUCCCGCUAGCUGAACACCCCAUUUACCUGGAGGAGACUCCUCUGGAAUCUACCUCCCCUGCCCAGACCUCUCUGUCGGGACAUCGUCUUGUGCCAGUGUGGUUCCUAGAACCAGCUGAGAAGUACACCUAGGAGCACAGAUGGGUAGAGAUCUUUGGCCUCCUCCACAGGACAUGGAAGGGAUCCGUAUCAUGCCGUGGUCAGUCUGGUUGUCCAGUGACUGACAUCCUCGGAGAUGAGAUAAAACAGAUGCACAGUUUCAUCCAUGG